AACUUUUAGCAAUGGAUCUCUUGGCUCUCGCAUCGAUGAAGAACGCAGCGAAAUGCGAUAAGUAAUGUGAAUUGCAGAAUUCAGUGAAUCAUCUAAUCUUUGAACGCACCUUGCGCCCUUUGGCUAUUCCGAAGGGCAUGCCUGUUUGAGUAUCAUGAACACCUCAACCCUCACGGUUCCUCGUGAUGGGCUUGGACUUGGGGGCUUUGUUGGCCUGUGGUCAGCUCUCCUCAAAUAAAUCAGCUCGCCAGUGUCUGGCGGCAUCAUGGGUGUGAUAACCAUCUACGCUUGUGAUCGCCUGCGAGGUAAACCUCUGGUCUGCAGAGGUUCGCUGGAGCUUAUAGAUGUCUCUCCUCUGUGAAGACAGCUUUCUGAAGUUCGAUCUCAAAUCAGGUAGGACUACCCGCUGAACUUAAGCAUAUCAAUAAGCGGAGGCU
rnacentral:misc_RNA from 1 species